ACUGGAGUCCAGACCUGUGCUUUCCUUCUGCAGAGUUAAGCAACAUGCAGGGGCUGGUGGAGGACUUGAAGAAUUAGUCCGAGGAUGAGAUCAGCAAGCGCACAGAGAUGGAGAAUGAAUUUGUCCUCAUCAAGAAGGAUGUGGAUGGCCCUGGUCGGUAUGCUCAGUGGUUAGAGUGUCCGCCCAUGGACCAAAGGGUCUUGGGUUCGAUUCCCAGUCAAGGGCAUGUACCUCAGUUACAGCUUCCCCAGUCCCUGUGGGAGCAUGUGCAG